rnacentral:rRNA from 1 species
AGAGUUUGAUCCUGGCUCAGGACGAACGCUGGCGGCGUGCUUAACACAUGCAAGUCGAACGGAAAGGCCCUGCUUGCAGGGUGCUCGAGUGGCGAACGGGUGAGUAACACGUGGGUGAUCUGCCCUGCACUUCGGGAUAAGCUUGGGAAACUGGGUCUAAUACCGGAUAGGACUCCGAGAUGCAUGUCUUGGGGUGGAAAGCGUUUAGUGGUGUGGGAUGGGCCCGCGGCCUAUCAGCUUGUUGGUGGGGUGAUGGCCUACCAAGGCGACGACGGGUAGCCGGCCUGAGAGGGUGUCCGGCCACACUGGGACUGAGAUACGGCCCAGACUCCUACGGGAGGCAGCAGUGGGGAAUAUUGCACAAUGGGCGCAAGCCUGAUGCAGCGACGCCGCGUGGGGGAUGACGGCCUUCGGGUUGUAAACCUCUUUCACCAUCGACGAAGGCCCGUCUUUGUGGUGGGUUGACGGUAGGUGGAGAAGAAGCACCGGCCAACUACGUGCCAGCAGCCGCGGUAAUACGUAGGGUGCGAGCGUUGUCCGGAAUUACUGGGCGUAAAGAGCUCGUAGGUGGUUUGUCGCGUUGUUCGUGAAAUUCCCUGGCUUAACUGGGGGCGUGCGGGCGAUACGGGCAGACUGGAGUACUGCAGGGGAGACUGGAAUUCCUGGUGUAGCGGUGGAAUGCGCAGAUAUCAGGAGGAACACCGGUGGCGAAGGCGGGUCUCUGGGCAGUAACUGACGCUGAGGAGCGAAAGCGUGGGGAGCGAACAGGAUUAGAUACCCUAGUAGUCC